rnacentral:rRNA from 1 species
UACAGAGGGUGCGAGCGUUAAUCGGAAUUACUGGGCGUAAAGCGUGCGUAGACGGUUAUUUAAGUCGGGUGUGAAAGCCCCGGGCUCAACCUGGGAAUUGCAUUCGAGACUGAAUAGCUAGGGUACGGUAGAGGGAAGUGGAAUUUCCGGUGUAGCGGUGAAAUGCGUAGAUAUCGGAAGGAACAUCAGUGGCGAAGGCGGGUUGCUGGGCCGACACUGACGCUGAGGCGCGAAAGCCAGGGGGAGCGGAACGGG